AUUGAACGCUGGCGGCAGGCCUAACACAUGCAAGUCGAGCGGAGCAGCGGACGGGGGAGUAAUGCCUAGGAAUGUGCCUGGGAGUGGGGGAUAACGUCAGGAAACGGGCGCUAAUACCGCAUCCUAUCAGAUGCACCUAGGUCGGUGUAGCUAGUUGGUGGGGUAAAGGCCUACCACGGCGACGAUCCGUAACUGGUCUGGGAGGAUGAUCAGUCACACUGGAACUGAGACACGGUCCAGACUCCUACGGGAGGCAGCAGUGGGGAAUAUUGGACAAUGGGCGAAAGCCUGAUCCAGCCAUGCCGCGUGUGUGAAGAAGGUCUUCGGAUUGUAAAGCACUUUAAGUUGGGAGGCGUUACCAGCAGAAUAAGCACCGGCUAACUCCGUGCCAGCAGCCGCGGUAAUUC
rnacentral:rRNA from 1 species